AUUGAACGCUGGCGGCAGGCCUAACACAUGCAAGUCGAACGGCAGCACAGAAGAGCUUGCUCUUUGGGUGGCGAGUGGCGGACGGGUGAGUAAUGUUUGGGAAACUGCCCGAUGGAGGGGGAUAACUACUGGAAACGGUAGCUAAUACCGCAUAACGUCGCAAGACCAAAGUGGGGGACCUUCGGGCCUCACACCAUCGGAUGUGCCCAGAUGGGAUUAGCUAGUAGGUGGGGUAAUGGCUCACCUAGGCGACGAUCCCUAGCUGGUCUGAGAGAAGGACCAGCCACACUGGAACUGAGACAAGGUCCAGACUCCUACGGGAGGCAGCAGUGGGGAAUAUUGCACAAUGGGCGCAAGCCUGAUGCAGCCAUGCCGCGUGUAUGAAGAAGGCCUUCGGGUUGUAAAGUACUUUCAGCGGGGAGGAAGGCGGUGAGGUUAAUAACCUCGCCGAUUGACGUUACCCGCAGAAGAAGCACCGGCUAACUCCGUGCCAGCAGCCGCCGUAA
rnacentral:rRNA from 1 species